AGAGUUUGAUCAUGGCUCAGGAUGAACGCUAUCGGGAGGCUUAACACAUGCAAGUCGCGGGGCAGCAUAGGGUAGCAAUACUCUGAUGGCGACCGGCGCACGGGUGAGUAACGCGUAUGCAACCUGCCCUGUACUGGGGAAUAGCCCGGAGAAAUUCGGAUUAAUACCCCAUAAUGAUAUUUUGAGGCAUCUCUUAAUAUUUAAAGUUUCGGCGGUACAGGAUGGGCAUGCGUGACAUUAGCUAGUUGGCAGGGUAAUGGCCUACCAAGGCUGCGAUGUCUAGGGGUCCUGAGAGGGUGAUCCCCCACACUGGUACUGAGACACGGACCAGACUCCUACGGGAGGCAGCAGUGAGGAAUAUUGGUCAAUGGGCGCAAGCCUGAGCCAGCCAUCCCGCGUGAAGGAAGAAGGCGCUAUGCGUUGUAAACUUCUUUUCCAGGGGAAUAAAAUUUCGUACGCGUACGGGACUGAAGGUACCUUGGGAAUAAGCAUCGGCUAACUCCGUGCCAGCAGCCGCGGUAAUACGGAGGAUGCAAGCGUUAUCCGGAUUCAUUGGGUUUAAAGGGUGCGUAGGCGGAUCAAUAAGUCAGUGGUGAAAACCUGCAGCUUAACUGUAGACGUGCCAUUGAUACUGUUGGUCUCGAGUGUGGUCAAGGUGGGCGGAAUGUGUAAUGUAGCGGUGAAAUGCUUAGAUAUUACACAGAACACCAAUUGCGAAGGCAGCUUGCUGGACCAUUACUGACGCUGAUGCACGAAAGCGUGGGGAGCAAACAGGAUUAGAUACCCUGGUAGUCCACGCCGUAAACGAUGAUCACUCGCUGUUAGCGAUACACAGUUAGCGGCUAAGCAAAAGCAUUAAGUGAUCCACCUGGGGAGUACGGCCGCAAGCUGAACUCAAAGGAAUUGACGGGGCCCGCACAGCGAGACAUGUGAUUAAUUCGAUGAUACGCGAGGAACCUUACCUGGCCUUAAAUGUU
rnacentral:rRNA from 1 species